rnacentral:ncRNA from 1 species
CGACAACUUCGGGGCUCAUCUGCAAAGUCGUAAGAUCAUAUAUAGGGGUUGACACCUGUUCAAGGUCGGAAGGUCAAGGAAGUUUGUAAUCUGAUGAUAGGAGAGUCGACGAUCGAAGUCCCGGUGAACGGCGGCCAUAACUAUAACGGUCCAAAGAUAGUGAAAUUCAUUGUCGGGUAAAUUUUGAUCCGCACGAAAGGCU